CUCAGGAUGAACGCUAGCUACAGGCUUAACACAUGCAAGUCGAGGGGCAGCAUGACGAUAGCUUGCUAUUGUUGAUGGCGACCGGCGCACGGGUGAGUAACGCGUAUCCAACCUGCCCUUGUCCAUCGGAUAACCCGUCGAAAGGCGGCCUAACACGAUAUGCAGUCCACAGAAGGCAUCUGACGCGGACGAAAUGUGAAGGAGAAGGAUGGGGAUGCGUCUGAUUAGCUUGUCGGCGGGGUAACGGCCCACCAAGGCGACGAUCAGUAGGGGUUCUGAGAGGAAGGUCCCCCACAUUGGAACUGAGACACGGUCCAAACUCCUACGGGAGGCAGCAGUGAGGAAUAUUGGUCAAUGGGCGAGAGCCUGAACCAGCCAAGUAGCGUGCAGGAUGACGGCCCUAUGGGUUGUAAACUGCUUUUAUGCGGGGAUAAAGUGAGCCACGUGUGGCUUAUUGCAGGUACCGCAUGAAUAAGGGCCGGCUAAUUCCGUGCCAGCAGCCGCGGUAAUACGGAAGGUCCGGGCGUUAUCCGGAUUUAUUGGGUUUAAAGGGAGCGUAGGCCGUCUGAUAAGCGUGUUGUGAAAUGUCGGGGCUCAACCUGGGCAUUGCAGCGCGAACUGUCAGACUUGAGUGCGCGGGAAGUAGGCGGAAUUCGUCGUGUAGCGGUGAAAUGCUUAGAUAUGACGAAGAACUCCGAUUGCGAAGGCAGCCUGCUGUAGCGCAACUGACGCUGAAGCUCGAAAGCGUGGGUAUCGAACGGGAUUAGAUACCCUGGUAGUCCACGCGGUAAACGAUGGAUGCUCGCUGUUUGCGUCUGACGUAAGCGGCCAAGCGAAAGCGUUAAGCAUCCCACCUGGGGAGUA
rnacentral:rRNA from 1 species